GAGGGUAUAGCUCAGUAGUAGAGUGUGUGCUUAGCAUGCACGAGGUCCUGGGUUCAAUCCCUAGUAUCUCCA
rnacentral:tRNA from 1 species